rnacentral:rRNA from 1 species
GAGUUUGAUCCUGGCUCAGUUCAGAUCGUAGGCUGCAACUCGCCUACGUGAAGGAGGAAUCGCUAGUAAUCGCAGGUCAGCAUACUGCGGUGAAUACGUUCCCGGGCCUUGUACACACCGCCCGUCACACCAUGGAAGUUGGCCACGCCCGAAGCCGUUACUCCAACCCUUGUGGAGGAGGACGUCGAAGGUGGGGCUGAUGACUGGGGUGAAGUCGUAACAAGGUAGCCGUA